CCUGUUAGUAGAGACUGUAUAUAAAGGCCCAGAAGUGCUGCUCAUUUCAGAGCACUGAUCAGGGAUAGUGACUGACUGACACUGCUGCAAAAACUCUACAGUCAGCAAAAUACAAACAGGUUUUAGAUACAGAGACAGCAGAACAGCAUGGCCACUGCGAAUGAAAAAGACACAGUGUGGAUCGGGUUCAUGGAUAUCGUUCCGGUCAUCGGGAAGGUUAAAGAGGCAGUGGAGCUGGUGCUGGCUCUGUACGAAGGGAAUAAAGCGGUGAUAAAGGAGAAAGAGAAGGCCGUUGAAAACAUUGUGAAAUUUUGAUUUUAAGGAUGUAAUCAUCUCUUAUGAGGCUCAGAGUUCCCGAAGUGAAUUAUUUUCAUACAGCAGCAUGGUCUAUCAUGUGUUAUUCUUUGCAUACAAUAUGGUAUAAUUAUUGCAUGUCACAGUGCACCAUCAUGCCAGUCUAUGUCCAGUCUAUGUCCAGUCCAUUUAAUUUUUUUAUCUUUCCAUAACUAGAAGAUGACUAAAUCAGCAGCAUUUCCAGCUGAUAAAUCAGCAGCAUUUCCAGCUGAUAAAACAGCAGCAGCUGCAGCUGAAUUUUCUGGACUCGGAAAUGUGAGAGAGGUCAGAAUGGAAAUGGUUAUUGUACAUCUGGCCCAAGCUUUCACAAGGGGAAAAAAAGUUCAAACUUCAGCUGAGCAGAAAAGUGAGCAGAAAGACAGACAGAAAAAAAUGGAGUACAUUAAGAAAGACAUGUUAGAAAAGAUCCAUAUGAUCGAUCCAAACUUCAAUGAGGAGCUGAAGGAAGAACUGAGAAGGUCACAAAGAGGCGAACAUGUCUUCAACAAUAACAUUCUUAAAUUUCAUUGCAAAGUGCUAGAUGAUUUUAUACAAGAACAAAAUAUUGAUAAUCUACAAAGAUAUAAUCCGCAGGAAAUGGAUACAUUACGCAGACAGACACUUACCCAAAAUGCAGAAGAAGAAAUUCAGACAAACAUGGUGGUUCACUUUGGUGAGGAUGAAUUCUAUGUGAAUGCAAAUGCAGUGAUAUAUGGUGUAUAUUGCAGAGCACUGCGUGGUGCUUUGUUAAAUGUGCUGCGCCACAUAAACCCAGGUGAGGUGGCAGAAGAGAAGAGACAUUGGGUGAAUUUUGUCAUAAAUACUAUGAAUAACUAUGAAAUCUAUGUGGACCAAAUGGCAAAGGUCCGUUGGAUUGCCAAUAUAGAGACUAGACGGGCCCGGUUUGAACGGGUAAAACAGGAAGUUGUGACCAUGUAUAACACAGAUCGUGGGUAUGACUGGUGCAUUAGCAUUCUGCAUGAAGUUGCAGGUUUGUUUGAACAUAGACAGUGAGUUCAUUUCUCCUGUUCAGGGUUGCCAGGUUUCCUUUCAAAAUUUCCAUCUUAACUACAUCCUAAAUCCCACAGACCUGAAACUAGCUGAAAGUUUGGACACUGGAAGAAACAAAGUUCACUGUGGUGCACACAUAUUUGUAUGUUUGCAAUGUUUCCAACACACUUAGGGUCAGAGUUUUGUCACCCAUAGCCUGUUACAACUGUUAUUUUUUAUUUUAUUUAUUUCAUUUAUUUGUACAGGGACAACGUACAACAACAGUGUCAUGCCAGAGUUAGCUAUAAAGCUAAUUUGUAUCUGCAAUCCCUGGGCAGGAUGUUCUUACAAAAUUACAAUAUUAAGUGACAAACAAUACAAUAAAUAUUACACAUACAACAUCACAUCAUACUACAUUAAAUUACAAAUCCAAGUCAAUGAUCACAUAUCUGAUUUUCCUUAAGCCAUACUUUAAGCAUAGUUGUAAAAAUACUAAGUGUUGCACACUCUCUAAUAUAAACAGGUCUUAAAUUCCAUCUUUCUGCUGCUCUAACCGAAAAAGCUGAUUGUCCAAAAAUAGUUUCUUAAAUUUAGUUGAACAGUCACCUCUAACUGAUGACCUAGUCUGCCUGAUAUUGUCCUUUCAGAAAGUCACACAUUGUUUAAGAGGUGGUGGUGCAAGAUUAUGAAAUACUUUGUACAUUAAACAGACAUCAGCAAAUAAAAAAAAAAUGUUAAAACGUCAAUCAUUUAUAAUAUAGUGAUGAUAACUUCUUGGCUUUUUAGCUAAGAUUUUCACAGCUUGUUUAUAAAUAGUAUAUAAUGGUUUUAACGUAGUUAAAAUGCAUCCACAUCUGUGUGUUUGUGGUCUGCGAGGAAAAUCGGUUGUUUCAAUAAAUUCAAUUGUAAUAGCCUUCUCUAUUAAAUCUGAACCAGUACAGAACCGGAGGAAAAGUUGAAGGGUGUUCAGAUCAAUUUCAGCAAUGUACCUUUUCAGAUAGUGUGCAACUGUUGUCUGGGGUGCUGUCAUAUCAUUUGGGAAGUGUAACAGCUCCUUCACUGCUUUUGCAGUUGUUUUUUUCUGUUUAACUGUACAAUUCAAACCAUCUAGUGGUAGCAUACUAGCUACAUGCACCAUAAUGGGACGCCAGCACUCAAUCACAUACAUUGGGGCCUGUAUUAUGGCUUUGUGCCCCAUUUGUGCUAGCAGAGGAACCAAAC
ensembl:lncRNA